rnacentral:rRNA from 1 species
UACAGAGGUCCCGAGCGUUGUUCGGAUUCACUGGGCGUAAAGGGUGCGUAGGUGGCAUGGUAAGUUUGAUGUGAAAGCUCAGGGCUCAACCCUGAAAUGGCAUUGAAUACUACUGUGCUGGAGGUUUGGAGGGGGGACUGGAAUUCUUGGUGUAGCAGUGAAAUGCGUAGAUAUCAAGAGGAACACCAGUGGCGAAGGCGACGUCCCUGGACAACACCUGACACUGAGGCACGAAAGCUAGGGGAGCAAACAGG